rnacentral:rRNA from 1 species
UACGAAGGGGGCUAGCGUUGCUCGGAAUCACUGGGCGUAAAGCGCACGUAGGCGGAUCUUUAAGUCAGGGGUGAAAUCCUGGAGCUCAACUCCAGAACUGCCUUUGAUACUGAGGAGCUUGAGUCCGGGAGAGGUGAGUGGAACUGCGAGUGUAGAGGUGAAAUUCGUAGAUAUUCGCAAGAACACCAGUGGCGAAGGCGGCUCACUGGCCCGGUACUGACGCUGAGGUGCGAAAGCGUGGGGAGCAAACAGG